GAUGAAGAACGUAGCGAAAUGCGAUAAGUAAUGUGAAUUGCAGAAUUCAGUGAAUCAUCGAGUCUUUGAACGCACAUUGCGCCCGCCAGUAUUCUGGCGGGCAUGCCUGUCUGAGCGUCAUUUCAACCCUCAUGCCCCUAGGGCGUGGUGUUGGGGAUCGGCCAAAGCCCGCGAGGGACGGCCGGCCCCUAAAUCUAGUGGCGGACCCGUCGUGGCCUCCUCUGCGAAGUAGUGAUAUUCCGCAUCGGAGAGCGAUGAGCCCCUGCCGUUAAACCCCCAACUUUCCAAGGUUGACCUCAGAUCAGGUAGGAAUACCCGCUGAACUUAAGCAUAUCAAUAAGCGGAGGA
rnacentral:misc_RNA from 1 species